rfam:Myotis brandtii contig212950, whole genome shotgun sequence.
GGCUGUUCUCGAGUGACAUACCCCGGAAUUGGGCUCCCUCCUCUCUGGUUCCUGGUGCAUCACCCGAGAACCACA